CCGGGGAAGGCGGGCAGAGGGCCUGCGGGUUGGGGGGGGAGGCGGCCGAGGGCAGAAGAAAAGCCGACGCGGUCGCCCCAUCCCGACCUUCUAAAGGGUUUCUGCUGGAGACCGCGCCCUGUGGAGAAGAGGGGACCCGCACGCCACCUAGGAACAAAAGAUGAGGCAAGGCGGGAGCAAGCAAGAAUUUCUCAAUUAAGUGACUCACAAAUUAACAAAUAAUGAGAAACCAGUCUGAGUUUCCAAUGAACCACAUUCUGUUUUCUGGGUUGGCUAAACACUGUGAUUCCAUACAGGACUGGAAGGCCAGGUCAUCUCUUCGGCAGGAACCAGGUGGGUGUACUAAAUGGAUACAUCCUGUUUAAAACGAAUGUGCCAAAUGCCACAAAGCCACCAUCUAAUCAGCAGAUUAGAAAGAUCUUGUCUGAGAAAUACUGGGUGAGAGACUGUGAUGCAACCCACAUCGCUACCCAGCUCACCCUGUGUUUUAAAGUGAGUUCCUCACCAUGAACUUGGGAAUAAACUGACACUUGGCUGUCCCCAAGGUUGUGUGGCGCAUACAGACAUACACAACUUGCAAACUAAAAUCUGCCGGUGUACAAGUCAAAACAGGGAUUCUGCACUACCCCAGCCUGAUUGGUAAGGACCAGAAAAUGCUGCUGUGCCCCCUUUCUCAUGUCAUUGAUAUGCCCUUUGGAGAAAAGAGACUCAGAAGCAAAGCUUAAUGAUUUUACCACACAUGUUUUGACAUGCCCUUAUCUUUCAGUAGAAACUAUAUGUGGUUCCUGGGGGAAGCAUGUGGCUCUGUUAUGACAAGUUUUACUGUAUUUGUUGCAUGGUAUAAAAUAGUAUCACGUCUGCAGCUAUGUUAUCAGUACAUGAUGCAAAGUAGUAAAAACCCUAGUUAGUCCAAACAACAACAACAACAACAACAACAAACCAGACAGAGGUAUCAUAAUGAAUCCUCUUAGAAGCUGCAGACCCAAACCAGUCUUGCAAAGAACCCCUUAAACUGAAAUAUAUCCUGAAACUCUCUUUUCUUCUACUACUCUAGAAUAGUACCAAGCUUCUAGAAACAGGAAAGAGUGUCAUUUACCAGCGUCUCUUUGAAUGUUACUUACUAUAUGAAAGUUAUUUAUGUCAUUUACUAUAUGAAAAAAAGUGUUGUUUUAAUUGACUGCCUUUCCAUUGUAUUAUAGUUUUGCAUUUUGGUUGGCAUAACCAUUCCUGAUGUAUAUUCACCGAAACGAAAGUUUGGUUCCAUUAUGGAACAGAAAAUCGUAACUAUCUAAUAUUUCACUUGAAAGCAAGUGGGGAUAUAAAUUGUAAUUAAAAUAAAAAAUCACUUCAGAAUUCAACAAACCCUUCAUUUAUCACUUUCCAAUAAACAUGAAUACUAAGUGAUGCUAAAUCUUGUGAAAAAUGUAGCAGGUUUCCUUUUGCUUUAAGCUUUACUGAGCUAGUGGCCAACUGCAGCCUCUCAUUUCAUAGGGCAAAGCUCUAGUUCUUUCUCACACACUGAUCCUUCUCAACCCAAAGCCUUAAGUCCUCAGUGCUCCUAGGGAACCGAGCUAAUUCAAGUCACUAGCACUUACUUAUUCAGAAGUAAAACUUGAUCUCUGGUGUCCACGCCCAGGUUGUAUAAUUUUUAAUUGCACAUUUUGGCAGUAAUUCCUGGUCAGAUCUGAUCUUGGCCUAGUUAGUUGUCCACUUGAGCAUACAUAUUAUUAGCAAAUAAUUUAAAGUUACAAAGUUUCAUUUCUGAAUAUGCAUUUGUGACUUGGAUUCAGAACUAAAGAGAAAUCUUAAAAUCCUAGAGUUUGGAGGAAUUAUAGAGGUCUUCUACUUCAACUAAAGCCUAUUAAGUUUCUCUCAAUACAAAUAAAACCAGUCUCUACUUAAAUCCUUCUGGUGAAAGAGGCCUCACUUCCUCCCCAAGAAGCCCUUUCUAUGUUCUAAUAGUUCUGAUUGGGAGGAAGCCAUAAUCUCUAUUGUGCUGAAAUCUGCUUCCAGUCAUUUCUAGCUAUUGGUCAUAGCUUGACGCUCUGAAAUAACAGAAUUCUUGCUCACUUAUUCUUCCAUAGGUUUAUAAGGCCUAUAAGUAUUUGAUGAUGAUAUUUCAUCUGUAUACCCAAAUGUAUUAUAUAUAAAAGACCUGAGAGAACUAUAAAUAAAUCUCUUUAAGUAUGUAUGUAUGUGUAUGUAUAUGAGUGCAUGUAUAUAUAUAUAGAGAGAGA